rnacentral:rRNA from 1 species
AGCCCAGAGCCUGAAUCAGUGUGUGUGUUAGUGGAAGCGUCUGGAAAGGCGCGCGAUACAGGGUGACAGCCCCGUACACAAAAAUGCACAUGCUGUGAGCUCGAUGAGUAGGGCGGGACACGUGGUAUCCUGUCUGAAUAUGGGGGGACCAUCCUCCAAGGCUAAAUACUCCUGACUGACCGAUAGUGAACCAGUACCGUGAGGGAAAGGCGAAAAGAACCCCGGCGAGGGGAGUGAAAAAGAACCUGAAACCGUGUACGUACAAGCAGUGGGAGCACGCUUAGGCGUGUGACUGCGUACCUUUUGUAUAAUGGGUCAGCGACUUAUAUUCUGUAGCAAGGUUAACCGAAUAGGGGAGCCGAAGGGAAACCGAGUCUUAACUGGGCGUUAAGUUGCAGGGUAUAGACCCGAAACCCGGUGAUCUAGCCAUGGGCAGGUUGAAGGUUGGGUAACACUAACUGGAGGACCGAACCGACUAAUGUUGAAAAAUUAGCGGAUGACUUGUGGCUGGGGGUGAAAGGCCAAUCAAACCGGGAGAUAGCUGGUUCUCCCCGAAAGCUAUUUAGGUAGCGCCUCGUGAAUUCAUCUCCGGGGGUAGAGCACUGUUUCGGCAAGGGGGUCAUCCCGACUUACCAACCCGAUGCAAACUGCGAAUACCGGAGAAUGUUAUCACGGGAGACACACGGCGGGUGCUAACGUCCGUCGUGAAGAGGGAAACAACCCAGACCGCCAGCUAAGGUCCCAAAGUCAUGGUUAAGUGGGAAACGAUGUGGGAAGGCCCAGACAGCCAGGAUGUUGGCUUAGAAGCAGCCAUCAUUUAAAGAAAGCGUAAUAGCUCACUGGUCGAGUCGGCCUGCGCGGAAGAUGUAACGGGGCUAAACCAUGCACCGAAGCUGCGGCAGCGACGCUUAUGCGUUGUUGGGUAGGGGAGCGUUCUGUAAGCCUGUGAAGGUGUGCUGUGAGGCAUGCUGGAGGUAUCAGAAGUGCGAAUGCUGACAUAAGUAACGAUAAAGCGGGUGAAAAGCCCGCUCGCCGGAAGACCAAGGGUUCCUGUCCAACGUUAAUCGGGGCAGGGUGAGUCGACCCCUAAGGCGAGGCCGAAAGGCGUAGUCGAUGGGAAACAGGUUAAUAUUCCUGUACUUGGUGUUACUGCGAAGGGGGGACGGAGAAGGCUAUGUUGGCCGGGCGACGGUUGUCCCGGUUUAAGCGUGUAGGCUGGUUUUCCAGGCAAAUCCGGAAAAUCAAGGCUGAGGCGUGAUGACGAGGCACUACGGUGCUGAAGCAACAAAUGCCCUGCUUCCAGGAAAAGCCUCUAAGCAUCAGGUAACAUCAAAUCGUACCCCAAACCGACACAGGUGGUCAGGUAGAGAAUACCAAGGCGCUUGAGAGAACUCGGGUGAAGGAACUAGGCAAAAUGGUGCCGUAACUUCGGGAGAAGGCACGCUGAUAUGUAGGUGAAGUCCCUCGCGGAUGGAGCUGAAAUCAGUCGAAGAUACCAGCUGGCUGCAACUGUUUAUUAAAAACACAGCACUGUGCAAACACGAAAGUGGACGUAUACGGUGUGACGCCUGCCCGGUGCCGGAAGGUUAAUUGAUGGGGUUAGCGGUAACGCGAAGCUCUUGAUCGAAGCCCCGGUAAACGGCGGCCGUAACUAUAACGGUCCUAAGGUAGCGAAAUUCCUUGUCGGGUAAGUUCCGACCUGCACGAAUGGCGUAAUGAUGGCCAGGCUGUCUCCACCCGAGACUCAGUGAAAUUGAACUCGCUGUGAAGAUGCAGUGUACCCGCGGCAAGACGGAAAGACCCCGUGAACCUUUACUAUAGCUUGACACUGAACAUUGAGCCUUGAUGUGUAGGAUAGGUGGGAGGCUUAGAAGUGUGGACGCCAGUCUGCAUGGAGCCGACCUUGAAAUACCACCCUUUAAUGUUUGAUGUUCUAACGUUGACCCGUAAUCCGGGUUGCGGACAGUGUCUGGUGGGUAGUUUGACUGGGGCGGUCUCCUCCUAAAGAGUAACGGAGGAGCACGAAGGUUGGCUAAUCCUGGUCGGACAUCAGGAGGUUAGUGCAAUGGCAUAAGCCAGCUUGACUGCGAGCGUGACGGCGCGAGCAGGUGCGAAAGCAGGUCAUAGUGAUCCGGUGGUUCUGAAUGGAAGGGCCAUCGCUCAACGGAUAAAAGGUACUCCGGGGAUAACAGGCUGAUACCGCCCAAGAGUUCAUAUCGACGGCGGUGUUUGGCACCUCGAUGUCGGCUCAUCACAUCCUGGGGCUGAAGUAGGUCCCAAGGGUAUGGCUGUUCGCCAUUUAAAGUGGUACGCGAGCUGGGUUUAGAACGUCGUGAGACAGUUCGGUCCCUAUCUGCCGUGGGCGCUGGAGAACUGAGGGGGGCUGCUCCUAGUACGAGAGGACCGGAGUGGACGCAUCACUGGUGUUCGGGUUGUCAUGCCAAUGGCACUGCCCGGUAGCUAAAUGCGGAAGAGAUAAGUGCUGAAAGCAUCUAAGCACGAAACUUGCCCCGAGAUGAGUUCUCCCUGACCCUUUAAGGGUCCUGAAGGAACGUUGAAGACGACGACGUUGAUAGGCCGGGUGUGUAAGCGCAGCGAUGCGUUGAGCUAACCGGUACUAAUGAACCGUGAGGCUUAACCUU